rnacentral:rRNA from 1 species
CCUACGGGUGGCAGCAGUGGGGAAUAUUGCACAAUGGGGGAAACCCUGAUGCAGCGACGCCGCGUGAGUGAAGAAGUAUUUCGGUAUGUAAAGCUCUAUCAGCAGGGAAGAAAAAAGACGGUACCGGACUAAGAAGCACCGGCUAACUACGUGCCAGCAGCCGCGGGAAUACGUAGGGAGCAAGCGUUAUCCGGAGUUACUGGGGGUAAAGGGGUCGUAAACGGGGCGGCAAGUCUGAAGUGAAAGGCAGGGGCUUAACCCCCGAACUGCUUUUGAAACUGCCAUGCUAGAGUGCUGGAGAGGUAAGUAGAAUUCCUAGUGUAGCGGUGAAAUGCGUAGAUAUUAGGAGGAACACCAGUUGCGAAGGCGGCUUACUGGACCGUAACUGACGUUGAGGCUCGAAAGCGUGGGGAGCGAACAGGAUUAGAUACCCGGGUAGUC